ACCAAAAUGAUGGAAUUGGUAGACAUACUAGGUUUAGGUUCUAGUUCUUUUUUUAGAGUAUGGGUUCGAGUCCCUUUUUUGGUA
rnacentral:tRNA from 1 species